ACACUGGACUGCUUUUAAUUUUCCAAAUCUGUGAUUCUAAUAUUUUGUAAUGUUUUCACAUAGGCAGUAAUUUCAAGAAUUCAGUGGAACAGCACCUAUUGGAAAAGGUUAAAAAAUGGUGAAUGCCAUCAUGUCUUAGUGAUGGAUAUCUGACAUGUUUGUGCCAUACUUGCUUGUCUUUCCUGAUGUGUCACUUUGAAACUAUGACCCAGGCAGUGGAAUGUGGAAAGCAGAUACCUAAAUACAUGGAAGCAUUUUACAGGAGUUCCAAAGCUUCCUGAGAAGUGACUGACCUUUCUAACUCUUGGAGUAUGUGCACUUAAUUGAAAAGUUCUCCCCUCGAUAUCUUUUCUCUAAACAAUGGAAAAAAUAUCUAUGUUAAACAGAACCCCAUCCAGGUAUGUGUGUAAACUUGAGAGAAGAAUGCAAGGGAGUU